CCAACUACAAGAUACGCAGAUGAUUACAUUUGGUAGCUGCCAGCAUGGCCAGUUCUUCUGAUGAAUGCAGUGCAGGAGUGAAUCCAGGUAGAACCAACUGUGCCAACUGUCCCACACAUUCAUGAUUUGUAUGCUAGAAGCCAAUUUAAGUGACACCAAAAGGCUACAAAAAAGCAUCACCUUUCAUGAGGACUUCAAGACGUUUCAAACUAAAUGAAAAUCUUUCAAUGACUUCUCAGAGAAUGGGCAAUGAAUACAGGAUUCUGAUGCUUUG